GCAUGGAGGGGUCUGCCUGGUUUCCUUGCUGCCUACAUUUUAUGCCAAAUCAUGCUAAUAUGUUCCAAAUAUUAUUAAUAAUAAUAACAACAUGUUAUUAUAACAAAUUAUGUAUAAUCAAGGACACAGGAACUAUUUUCUGGGGUCUCAUGUGGCAUGAACUACUACCUGUUGCACAUCAUAGACCACUUUACCCCUUGCACCGUUAUCACUUCUUUCGUGGUGCCCCACCCUGGAUAGCGCUGUCCAACACAGCAGCAGUCCUGAUUGGACUGAGCUACUAAGAAGCCCAAUGCAAAUAAUUUGAAGAAAAGUGCAGCUUUUAAGAAAAGAAAGAUUUAGAUGUUUACAAAGCUUCUGUAGUAUUAUGACAAUAAAAAAUGGCUCAUAUCAAAGAGGCACCUGUCACACAUGCUCAAUUCAAUCAUGAAACCUUAAUAAAAGUCCUUUAAUAAAAAGUGCAAAAGUCAUAAGGCAAUUCAUAGGGCCUUGAAUGUACAAAUAUUUGUAGGGUGUUUGAAGUCAGAUACAUUGAAGCACCAAUUCUUUAUUUACAAAAAAAAAAAAAAAACGUUUGGCUCCGUAAAGGAAAGCUGUCCAUACUGUGGGGUGGGAGCACCCUCGCAUCUCUACCGCCAAUGUCCAUGGGUAGAUUUUAGUCCAGGCUUUCAUCUGUUUGUGAAUACAAUUUUUAAUUGCAGGGUCCUUUCUGCAAAGACAACCUUACCAACGGGUUGUUUUUCCAGCGUAUAUUUUCAUUCAUAGGAAGUUAGAGGUACCUUGAAGGCCACCAUAGGUAAAGGGCAAAAUUUGCGAUUUGAGGGUGUUGGCGUCACCAUGAUGAGAAGAUCCGCAGUCUCGAGCGCAAGGCUUUCCAUCAGACCGCCUUUAAUACAAAAGGUAUUUACUCGAGAUUUAAGUAGGCCUACACUCAAGGCAACACUUAUAUCCAACAAACCUAUGGGCAACAAUAUAUCAGACAAACCUAUAGGCAACAAUAUAUCAGACAAACCUAUUUCCCGUGGGUAGUUCAGAAGGCUAACGUGGAAAGCAUGGCUAACAAGACAGGAUGGGGGCUUAAUCAACAUGUCUCCGAACGCUUAUUUGAAGAAGGCAGAGCCUGCUGGAGGUGGUGCCAUCGAUUUUGCUGACAUGUCCCAUGAGCGCCACCUGCUAAGCCAGAUGGAUUAAGGAAGACCCCACUCUGCAGGACAAGUCUGCGCCUAUGAGGGAGGACCUAUGGUCCGGAGGUGGCGGAGGUGCUAUGAGUCUACAUCCUGCAGUUUGGAAAGUAUAAAGGUGGUUUUUGAAUAAUGAUGUAGGCUACACUAUGUAUCUUUUCAAGAAUCUCCGUAUGGUAGGAGGCUUUAGGUAUCUGUAUGGCCGAGGGGCAUAGCAAGUACAGCCUACUGUCAUUUGUGAAUUAUGCUCUCAGUUUUGCAGAGUUCCAGUCUCUUCUCAACUAUGAGGCCAGUGGAGUGGGUGUUGUGGCAUCCUCAUCAGAAGACGGCCAGCUGGUUGGCUUUGGCUCUCGGGCCAAGAGCACCUGGAAGGAGAUAUAGAACAGCAGAGCUGAUGGCUACGCAGACUUUGUCAUGGGGAAGAGCCUUGAUGUCUUGUAAUAUUACAGUGCACAAGAAGAGAGUGGAUGGCCACUGAAUUGUUUCAGGCCCAGGGCUGACCGGGGCAGCACAGUGGAACUACCAACGGCUGGUGGACCUUAAGCAGCCAGGUGUCAUCCUCCCUGCUGUGUUUGAUCCAGUUGUAAUGGCUGAGUUGAAGUCUGCCUCCAAGAAUCCGUUGGCCAGCCGCUCUCUGCUGGUCCACUGCUAAAGCAGGAGAUGUCGCCAGACGACCACCAGGAACCUCCAGCAGCAAUUGCCUAACCAGAUGUGAAGAGUUUAGCAGUGCACAAGAAAAAAAGUGAAGAGAAGACGGACAAAGACCUGUCUUGGCUGUGGACAGCCCAAGUCUCAAUAGUGCGUCAUUUAGUCAUUGUGAAAAGUUAUAUUUGAAUGCUGGCCUUAAAUGUUCCAUAUCAUUUCUGAAAUGCUUAUCUUUAUGAUUACAAUCCACACUUUUACAUUUGUAUGUUACACUUGUCAUUGUUAAUAGCUGUUUGUUUGUCAUUUUCCUUUGUCAUUGUAAGCAGUUAUAUUUAAUUGUUGGCCUUAAAUUAUCCAUAUUAUUUCUCAAACAUGUAUCUUUAAUUACAGUCCACGCUAUUCCAUUUGUGUAAAUACUGAGACAAGUAUAAAUUAUUUCAGAUGUUGUCAAUAAAACUAUGAUGACUAAUAAAAAUGGAACUUAUUUUGAAAUAUUACACACUGCCUUUUAGUCCUGCUUAAAUGAAAACAAUAUAGCUUUUUCUCAUCUUAAUUAUACCAUCUACAACAAUAGGUUCUGUGUCAUAAGAAUGAAUCCAAGUCUGCUGGUUCAGUUUAUUUGAGCAGUACAGGGGAUAUUAAUGAUAAACACACUUGA